AACGAACGCUGGCGGCAUGCCUAACACAUGCAAGUCGAACGAGACCUUCGGGUCUAGUGGCGCACGGGUGCGUAACGCGUGGGAACCUGCCCUUAGGUUCGGAAUAACUCCCCGAAAGGGGUGCUAAUACCGGAUAAUGUCUUCGGACCAAAGAUUUAUCGCCUUUGGUUGGGCCCGCGUUGGAUUAGCUAGUUGUUAGGGUAAAAGCUUACCAAGGCGACGAUUCAUAGCUGGUUAGAGAGAAUGAUUAGCCACACUGGGACUAAGACACGGCCCAGAAUCCUACGGAAUGCAGCAAAGGAUAAUAUUGCAAAAUCGGCGAAAUCCUGAACCACCAAUGCCGCUUAAGUUAUGAAAUCCUUAAAGAAGUAAAGCUCUUUUACCCGUGAUGAUAAUGACAGUACCUAAAGAAUAAGCUCCGGCUAACUACGUG
rnacentral:rRNA from 1 species